rnacentral:tRNA from 1 species
GGGGAGAUACCAGAGCGGUCAAAUGGGGCUGACUGUAACUCAGCUGCUUCGGCUACGUAUGUUCGAAUCCUGCUCUCCCCA